GUGAUCCCAGGGAGGAAGGGCCUUGCGUGCGUAUAUAAAGAGAGCGGCCGCACGUUGCUCCCUCUUUUCCAGCCAGGUCUCCAUUGCUUGCGGUCUGCUGUGCUUUGCGGACCAUGGCUCAGAAGGUGAAGAUGAUACUAUUUGCAGAGGCUUUUAGAAAUGGUUUGGUACUUCCAGAAGGAAGAUGUUUGGGGUCUGCAUUUGCAUUGUAUGCUGCAAUAUGGUUGCUUCCAUACUAUAAAUUUCAGUCCAGUUCCCUAGCAUGGCCGAACAGGCCUCCGUAAUGCAGCUGUAUUGAGACGAGUUCUGAAGCAAAAGGCCUCCGUAAUGCAGCUGUAUUGAGACGAGUUCUGAAGCAAAAAAGGUCAUAAGGCGACUUUGGGGAUCUCCUUAGAGUUACAUUCCUGAUAAUGUUGAGGAGUCUCCAGUUUUGAGUUAUCUACUGAAAGAGACACAGUGGAAACCGAUGGAGAGGAGCGGCCUGAGCUUCACAAUACACUGAUUAAACGGGAAUGUCCUGGAAGAACUCUGUCUGUGUGAAGCAAGUGCUACACGCUCUGGAUUGGGGGGGAAAGAAACAACAUUUUAAGUUGGUGGUGAACAUCUUGAACUAACAGUUGUAUGUGAAAGAUGCGAAGUUGCAGCCUUACCCAGAAGACAUUCAACUUAGAAUAGUGGAAGAACCUGAAUGUAAAUUCUGUGACAUCUGGAUAUUUAUUACAAGCUUUGGUUGCAAUAGAUGCCAUCUCUAGAUAGGAGUAGCAUAACCACAACUGGCACUGAGGAAGCAAUUGUCAGGUUCAGCGGUCGUCCUCUUCACAUUAACAUGCAGACACGUCUUGUUCUCUUAUAGCUUUUAUUAUGUCUUCAAACAGUAUUUCAAAAUAAGUUCUUAACUUUUAACUAUCAAUCCUCAGAAUCCCAGGGGAAACUGAAAAGCAAAGUCAGACAGUGGUGGUAAUUUGGACUUUGUGGAUGUCUAUCUUGUUUGGACAUAGGGUGGCUUAUUGUAAACUGGCUUGUAUUCCUUUGAAGAGUGGCAUAUGCAUAUAAUCAAUAAAGGAUUUAUUCUAACCUCAGAA